UUCUUUUGAAAAAUCUUCAUACUAUAGAAGCUAAAAAAUCUCAUAGUUUUUGGUGGAAUCAUGACAACGACGAUGACCGCUGCAAUGGCAUCACCUUCCCGUUGGCUACUUGUCAACCCUUUAAGAUAAUAACCAUUAAGAGAAAAAAGAGAAAUUGAGCAAUGUUGCUAGGUUCUUUAUGAGAACAACGGCAAAGGCAACAGUAGCAGUGGGGGAGUUGCUGGUGUAUUUUACUGCUUUCUAAUAAAGUUUGAGAGAGUUAAUGGUUAGUGGUGAACAUGGAGAAGAAUAUCACCUCAUUAAAAUAAAUUUCAUGAUCUAUACGAUUGUAUCACUAUGCAUAUGUAUCAUAGUAAAAAAAGUAUAUUUUUUUGCUCAUGAUACAUAUGAAUGUGCUUGCAUGCUAAUGUAUCAUAGUCUACUAAUUCAUAUAUAAUAUGAAGUUUAUUAGUAUUUGUUCAUGAAACAUGUGAAUGUAUCUCUGUGCAUAUGUAUCAUAGUAAAAAAAUAUAAUUUUUUUCAUGAUACAUAUGAAUUUUCUUGCAUACGUGCAUAUGCAUCAUAAUACAAAAUAAUGUCUUUUCUUAUUCAUGAUACAUAUGAAUGCAUCUACAUGCUCAUGUAAUAAAUUUAUCAAUUUUUUAUGUAUACAGUAGAUUAGUGUGUGUUUAUGAUACAUAUGAACAUCUAUUCACACAGUUAUAUUAUUCUUGAUCAAAGUCCCUCAAUUUUUUUCAAAAUUAAUUAAUUUACCAAUCAAAUGUACCAAGUAUACAUGCAUCAGGCAUAUGUGUAAGAUAAGAGUAUUUGAUACAUAACAAGAACUUGUGUUUUUUUUCAUAAUUUAAGGAUGAUACAUAUGUUUGAAAUCUAAUAUAUGAGAUUUAUGUAUCAUACAUAUAUAUCAGAUAAAAUAAGUGCUAAUAUAUAUAUAUAUAUAUAUAUAUAUAUAUAAAGUAUUAAUUUUUCUUCUAUUUUAGAGAUUUCUCUCAUAAUUUACUCUCCUAAAUAAAUUUAAUAUUGUUACUUCCUUAUUUAACUAAGCGAUUGGUAAAAUGAAUCAAAGACGACAUGUAUCAAGAUUUAAAAUAUGUGUCACAAAAUGAGAUUUAUGAAAUUUUAUGUAAUUAGACAAAAUUGUGGUAAAAAAUAUUGGUAGCUCCUUAACUUAUGGGAUUUGUGUAAGUUACCCUUUUAUCAUUAAUUUUUCUUCAAUUUACCCAAUUUUUUUUGCUGCAUUUUCUCUUAAAGCUUUCAAUUUUUUUCAGUGCCAAUUUUCAUGGAUUUUAAUUUUUAGAAUUUUUUUAUUUGAAUAAUUAAAAAAGGUUGGAUAUUUUUUGUACUUUAUAUAUUGGGAUUCAAGAAUAAGACAGCCCAUUUUUGCUCUGAUGAAUAAGAUGAAAAAACUAAUGACUUUCACUGCUACGUUUACUAUCGUUGGUGUUAUGCCGCCGUUAGAUACACCACUUACCAGCACUCAAUUAGCCUUACCAGAAUGAUGGGUGGAGGCAGAUAUGGAGAGAAGCGCGACUAGUGGUCGAGGGAGAUAGUGAUGGUGUUCACGGUGGAAUUGUCUCAAUUUUCUAACCUCAUAUUUAGUUGAAUGUUUGAGACAAAGUUUAAUUAAUUUGAACAUUUCUUAUCCGUAGAUGUAAUGUUUCUUCUCCAUUUCAAAUUUUUAAAUUUUUUUUAGAAAAAAAUGUAUAAUUUGAAAACCAAAUCGUAUAUUAGUGUCAAUUUAACAAAAUGAAUCUUGAUGAAUUGAUUUCAUAAUUGGGUAUUUGAUUCAAUUUUAGUGAAUUUGAUAAUUGUAUGUAGGCGAUUUAAUUGUAUUCAGUCUAAUCUGCGUAUGUUUUUGCAUGUGGGUGUGUAUUGUAUAUUUUUUUAUUCGUAUAUUUUUAUAUCCAUAUGAAUGUAUCGGAUGUGUGUUUUUUGAUAUAUGUGUAUGUGUAUAUAUAUAUAUAUAUGCAAGUUUGUUCUAUAUUGCUACACACACACAUAUAUAUGUAUGUAUGUGUGUGUAUAUAUACAUACAUACAUACAUGUAUGUAUGUUUGUAUAUGUAUGUGUGUGUGUGUGUGUUAUGUGUUGGUUCAUAUAUACAUUAUGCAUAUACUUAUGUGUAUACAUUUGUUCUGUGUUUUUCUAUAUAUACAAAUACAUAUACAUAUGAAUAUCUGUAUAUUUAUAUAUACAUAUGUAUAUAAAUAUAAAUGUUUCUAUAUACCUACACAGAUUUUUAAAGAUGAUGUAUUACGAAUUAGAAUGAGUAUCAACUCAUUAGGAUCCUAAUGUACAAAUGUCCAAUCGUUUAAUUGUAUAUGUACAAUAUUAUAUGUUUAUACAAUAUAGUAUUGAUAUACAUAUGUGUAUGUUUAUUCAAUACAUAGUACGCAUAUGUUAUACAAAUGUGUUUGUCUCAUAUGUAUAUGUUUAUACAUUUAAUUUUAUAUAUAUAAUGUUAUAACAUUUAUACAAUAUAGCGUUGAUAUACAUAUGUAUACAUUAUACAUUAGAAUUAUAAAAUUUUAAUGUGUUUAUAUAUACAAUUAAACAUAUACAUUUAGUUAAGAUUCAGUUUUAUAAAGUAUAAUUGGUUUGUAUACAUUUGUACUAAAAAUGAUCACUUUUGAUAGAAAAAUAAAUGAUCAAAUAUGGAAGAAGAAUAAACGAUCAAGUAUGAAAGAAGAAGGAUAAAUGUUUUCUGUUAUAUAUGAGCUUAAAUGAUCAACUAUCGAAGGACAAUAUUGGAAAAAGUUGGAGAUAAUAAUCGGCAUUAAUUAAUAUCCCUUUUAAAAAAAUUAAUAUUAGUUAUAUUUGUAUGAAUAGGCUCUAAAUACAUUUGGUCACUAACUAACUGAUGUCUAUAUAAUUUAGAGAAAAUUAUCUUGUAUAUACUUAUUAGAUUGCUUAUUGCAAGUUAUAGUAACAUUUUUAGAUAAUUAUUGAACUAUGAAAUUAAUUGCAAGUUGUAGCAAUUUUUAAACAAAUAGUUUUAUUUCUUUUUUUAAAAGAAUCAUUUAAUACAUAUUUAUUAAUCUAAUUAUCUCCUAUUUUUUAGUAUUUAAUAUUUUAUCUCUCCUAAAUAAUUAUGUUGAUAAUCAUGGUACGAGUAAAAUCUAAUCAAUAAUUUAUUUUUAUUAUUCACGUUUUUUUUCUUUUUCAGAAAAAUUACCUGUUUCUCUAUAACUCUCUUUAUUGAAAAAAUAUUCUAUGUCUAUUAACACACGCAUCUUCCUUAACUAUAUUACUUUUUUUUAGUCAUAUGUAUAUGAAUUUCUGGUUUUGAAUUUUCUUUGUGUAUCAUCUUUGGUCCUUUUUAAUCGAUUUUGCUUUUGGAGUUUUUGAAGAAGAAAUUUCGUCACACAAAUUCAAAUAAUCAAAGAGUGGAAUAGAUGCAUCUUCUUGAGUUACAAGGUUUAGGUGUAAUGUAACAAUUUUCAAAUAUGUUGCUAAGAAGGUUAGCAACAAGAAAUUCAAAAACGUUUGAAAGGUAUUUAUUUUUAAUUUUUGUGUAUUAAAAAGAAAUAUUUUUUCUUUUUCUUUUUUAUAAUUACACACUGAAAUGCACGAUAAUUAGGUGUGUCAUUUUUUGUUAGUUUCUUUUAUCACUAUAUGUUUGUACUUAAAUUUUUUUGAUUAUUUUGUUACAGUGAUUAUGGAUGUUUGCAUGUGUCUUUGCUGAAUUUCUUAGUCAUAGUGUGUUUGAGAUUUCAAGAAUCAACUUCUAUGAUUUUGGCCAUUGUAUUAGAUAUGGUGUACUAUUUUGGGAUUAUAUAUGUUUUGCGGAAAUUUUGACGACUUAUGUGAAGAGUGGCCACUUAAUUUUGAAAAGGAAUUAAGAAAUCUUUAAAAAUAUUUUAAACGAUCCAAAACAGAAAAAUCGUCUAAAAUUUAAAGAUUCUAAGUAAGCGGUUCCUAUUAACAUUUUAGGAAGGUGUUUGGCACCUAGAACGUCCAUUAACUUAUGGUUAUUCGGACUGUUUGAAAACAUAUUUGAUUAACUUCUAAAAAGAUUAAUUUGUUGAAAAGUGGUUGACUUGUUAGAAAGAAGACUUGUGUAAAAUAGAUUUAGACACCUGGAACAUAGAGACGACCCUGACAACGCAAAACAUCAUCUCCCCCUUGGGAGAAAACCUCUACUUUUUUAUCCUAAACUGACUCUUUCAACUUGACAAGGCUGGGAUCUCUAUCUUGCUUUUCUUUUACCUCGGAAACUAGAGAUGAUUUUAAACAACUCUGAACCCAUAUAUCACCCUCUUUUAUAUUAACUAAGAGAACGCCUAGUCCGGCAAGCUGAUGGACUUAGUAAGGAUUUUAACUAAGCCUAAACAAAACUAAUAAAUAAAUAAACACAUAAAAGGGGGGAAGAGAUGAGAAAGUAAAGGAUUUAGGCCAUUGGGCCCAAAUCAACAGACCUGUCCUAGUUUAAUUGAUUUUUCGACCCAUUUCACCUGUCCUAAUCUAGUUUUCGAGCCCUUGGCUCGAGUUCGCUCCACCUUUAUUAAGUUUAUAACUUUGGCUUCAAGACCCAAAAUAUAAUGAAUAAUGAAAUUUAAAAAAAAUGAAUAGAUAAUAAUAAAGGAUGACAAUGAAUGAACAAAUGAAAAUAAGACUCUCGCAUCUCUUUGUCCCUUCAAAUAUGGGACUUUAACUCAUUUUUCUCGUCUUCUGACUUUUCGUAUCCAUAUGCCAUGAGAUUGUCUUUGGAAAUAGUCUUUCAAAAAAUUAACUCAGGGCUAGACGGGCCUCAAUGGCCCAUAAUAAACAUGCAAAGAGAAAACAAUCUGUAUAGGACUCAAACAUAUCCACAUGCAAAAAGAAAAAAAAGUGAAGUAAUUAACAUAUAUCCUAAGGUUAAUAGUUAAACGAGUACUAAAUUAUCAUGUAUAAUAAAAACAUGCAAAAUUAGUUUAACAAAGGUAACUUCUCAUUAUGUAACAUACAUGGAAACCAACAACAACAACAACAACGAAUCCAGUGUAUCCCCCGAGGGUAAAAUGUACGCAGUCCAUACCGCUACCUCAAAUAUGAGAUAGAGAGGUUGUUUCCGAUAGACCCCCAUCUCACCAGAGAACAAACUAAUAUAAGGAACAGUAAUAGUAAAAAUAUCAAAAGAAUAAGAUACAAUAGGGAUAAGCAAACUCAAAACAAUUAGAAUUAGCAUCUUAAAACACAAGUCUAGUCUCUACUGUAAAUAUUUACCUAAACUAACUACUAAUUGCAAAAACAAGUCCAACAAAUGAGAAUAAGAACCAUAGAAUACUCUGAGCAGUUUUACAGUGAAUCUAAUCCGUAAAUAUCCACAACGGAGAAAUUCAAGUUGACUCUCUUAAUAUGGAUUUUAAAUCAUAUUUCAGUGACGGGGAGGAGAAACUAGCUCUUUACAUUGACAAGCCAUUAACCAAAUUUAUUUUAUCACAAAAAUCCUAUUCUUUAACUCAGAAAUGAUAUAAUGAUUCAGCAUAAGGAUUUAAGCAUAUAAAGGGACUUUAGUUUGGUUUCCAUCUCACUGACUGGUUAUUUGAAUCCAUGAGUCAAAGGUCAUUGAGAUGUCAUCAACCUCACAACUUUGCUCCAUGGAUAAAUCUAUUUUCCCCAAUGGAUAUUGAAUUAGGAGUCCUAAUGAACCAUUAUCUUAACACAUAAUCACAAAGACAAAACAUGAGAGGAACAUACUGAUAGACAAGUAAAAAGGGUGAACUAUUUAGGACCUUGAUUUGUCAAAUAAGAUAAAGGAAGCUGAUAGAAACAACCAUAAACAUGGAUGAUUUUAGGCAGUAGCUUUUAAUAUUAUUAAAAAGGAGAAAUAAGUAGCAACAAGGUUGAAACAAGUACGAACAAUAGUCACACUUAGAGAUAAAUCUAAAAUGUAACCUAAUAAAUAAUGCUAAACAAAUUUUAAUGAUUUUAGAAAGCGAGAGACUUUGAUUUUUUCUUUUUCAAACACUUGAAUCAACAUCUAAAUGGAAAAUAAAAUUAAAGCGAAAAACAACAUCAUCAUAUUAAAGCUGAUUCAACGCUUACUCUUCAGUACAAUCAAAUCAUUUCAACUAACACAAGACAAGGAUUUCAAGAAAGGAAACAAGAAAAGACGCCUAAAUCUACAGCAACAACACCACACUCAGGUGAGAGAGAGGUUCAACACUUCAAUUGGUAUGGCGACAGUAAAUCAAAUAAAAAUCAAAGUAAAGCUACAGGCAGCAUGAUGGAUUAUCAUAAAAAAAACCUUUUAAGAAAAAAAAGUAAUAACACUAAAAAUUAAUUAUGAUAGUGUAUGAUGACAAAUGCAACAAUUCUCUUAUAAACAAAAUAAAAUCACAGAUCCUUGAGCACAUGGCAAAAACAAGGAAAACUAAAUACGGCCAUAAUAUUUAACGUAAACCAGACUAUUCAACAUAACAAACAACAAUCACACGAAAUCCUAAGGCCUUCAACAGCUUCUACAGUAACAAAUCCCAGCCUCAUUCAUGAUUAUAAUUAAGCAACCAACUGAUUCCACGAAGAAAAGGGAUGAAGGAGAAAAUAAUGAAAUUAAAGGGGCGAGAGUGUGUUUACAUCUUCCAGGGCAACAAAAUGGGACCUCGAGGCUAAUAUUGGAAUCACAACCACCAAAAAAUGUCUUUGCCUUCAACUCAAAGCUAUAAUUUAGUCGAUGAACUUUUGAAAAACAAAAACAGAAUUCCUACUAAACGACUGAAUUUUCUUGAAAAGUUUCUUUCUUUCUUUUUUCCUUCCUUAGUUUUUUCUGAAUCCAAAAUUUCCAAUUUAGCUUUCCAAAACUUUUUCCUCUUUCCAGACCCAAAACUUUCAAACCAGAGUUUUCAACCUUCUUCCUCCUUAAUUUUUUUUUACUUCAAUACCCCCAAAAAUCGAACCCUUUUUUGUGUGUAUUUCUAAUUUUUUGAAGAUUUUCUCUAACCCUAAUUUUUUUCCAAUCCCCACUUUUCUCCUAAAACCCCCUUUUAUAGAGAAGAAAUUAGGGUUCCCUUUUGUCUUGAACGACGUCGGAUCAAAUGAAAAAGAAGGGGGUAUUUUGGAAUUUUCAGAUGGAAAAAUUUUAAUUGAAGCUGAAGAUAGGGUUUCUCGUUGAAAAUCGGUACUAAUUUUGGAAUUUUCCCAACAAUCCAAAAAUAAUCAGCCAAUAAGAAAUGAGGAAGCAAAAUUCCCUCAUGAACCAAAAAAAAUUGCCAAAAAUGUACGAAUCUGUAACGAUUAUUUUAAGAUUUGUAGAAUUUGGAUAUUGGGGGAUGACACCUAGCAUGUUUAUAGAAGGUUCAAGGGUUUCCUUUGUGUGACCCAUGCGAGAUGCGUGAGGAAGGCUGCAAACGGGUUGAUUUUUUAUUUUGGUUGAAAUCGGGUUGGGUAUGGUUGUAAGCGUAUUUUGUACGCUGGUUGUUGUUCGUUGUUAGGAUGGUUGUUG
rnacentral:lncRNA from 1 species